rnacentral:rRNA from 1 species
UGGGGAAUAUUGGACAAUGGGCGCAAGCCUGAUCCAGCCAUGCCGCGUGAGUGAUGAAGGUCUUAGGAUUGUAAAGCUCUUUCACCGGUGAAGAUAAUGACGGUAACCGGAGAAGAAGCCCCGGCUAACUUCGUGCCAGCAGCCGCGGUAAUACGAAGGGGGCUAGCGUUGUUCGGAAUUACUGGGCGUAAAGCGCAUGUAGGCGGAUAUUUAAGUCAGGGGUGAAAUCCCGCAGCUCAACUGCGGAACUGCCUUUGAUACUGGGUAUCUUGAGUAUGGAAGAGGUGAGUGGAAUUCCGAGUGUAGAGGUGAAAUUCGUAGAUAUUCGGAGGAACACCAGUGGCGAAGGCGGCUCACUGGUCCAUUACUGACGCUGAGGUGCGAAAGCGUGGGGAGCAAACAGGAUUAGAUACCCUAGUAGUCCACGCCGUAAACGAUGAAUGUUAGCCGUCGGGCAGUAUACUGUCGGUGGCGCAGCUAACGCAUUAAACAUUACCGCCCGCUGGGGGAGU